rnacentral:rRNA from 1 species
GAUCCGGGCUCAGGACGAACGCUGGCGGCGCGCCUAACACAUGCAAGUCGAACGGAGCUAUAUUGAAAGCUUGCUGGAUAUAUAGCUUAGUGGCGGACGGGUGAGUAACACGUGAGCAACCUGCCUUUCAGAGUGGAAUAACGUUUGGAAACGAACGCUAAUACCGCAUAACGUCAGAGGACGGCAUCGUUCUUUGACCAAAGAUUUAUCGCUGAAAGAUGGGCUCGCGGCCGAUUAGGUAGUUGG